AUUGAACGCUGGCGGCAGGCCUAACACAUGCAAGUCGAGCGGAUGAGGAAAGCUUGCUUUUCGAUUCAGCGGCGGACGGGUGAGUAAUGCCUAGGAAUCUGCCUGUUAGUGGGGGAUAACUCGGGGAAACUCGGGCUAAUACCGCAUACGUCCUACGGGAGAAAGUGGGGGAUCUUCGGACCUCACGCUAACAGAUGAGCCUAGGUCGGAUUAGCUAGUAGGUGAGGUAAUGGCUCACCUAGGCGACGAUCCGUAACUGGUCUGAGAGGAUGAUCAGUCACACAGGGACCGAGACACGGUCCAGACUCCUACGGGAGGCAGCAGUAAGGAAUAUUGGUCAAUGGACGGAAGUCUGAACCAGCCAUGCCGCGUGGAGGAUGAAGGUCCUCUGGAUUGUAAACUUCUUUUAUAUGGGGCGAAAAAGGGCCAUUCUUGGUCAACUGACGGUACCAUAUGAAUAAGCACCGGCUAACUCCGUGCCAGCCGCCGCCGUAACAC
rnacentral:rRNA from 1 species